rnacentral:rRNA from 1 species
GAUGAACGCUGGCGGCGAGCCUAAUACAUGCAAGUCGAGCGAACAGAUGAGGAGCUUGCUCCUCUGACGUUAGCGGCGGACGGGUGAGUAACACGUGGAUAACCUACCUAUAAGACUGGGAUAACUUCGGGAAACCGGAGCUAAUACCGGAUAAUAUAUUGAACCGCAUGGUUCAAUAGUGAAAGACGGUUUUGCUGUCACUUAUAGAUGGAUCCGCGCCGCAUUAGCUAGUUGGUAAGGUAACGGCUUACCAAGGCAACGAUGCGUAGCCGACCUGAGAGGGUGAUCGGCCACUCUGGAACUGAGACACGGUCCAGACUCCUACGGGAGGCAGCAGUAGGGAAUCUUCCGCAAUGGGCGAAAGCCUGACGGAGCAACGCCGCGUGAGUGAUGAAGGUCUUCGGAUCGUAAAACUCUGUUAUUAGGGAAGAACAAAUGUGUAAGUAACUAUGCACGUCUUGACGGUACCUAAUCAGAAAGCCACGGCUAACUACGUG